AGAGUUUGAUCCUGGCUCAGGACGAACGCUGGCGGCGUGCUUAACACAUGCAAGUCGAACGGUGAAGCCCCCUUCGGGGUGGAUCAGUGGCGAACGGGUGAGUAACACGUGGGCAAUCUGCCCUGCACUCUGGGACAAGCCCUGGAAACGGGGUCUAAUACCGGAUAUGACCUUCUACCGCAUGGUGGAGGGUGGAAAGC
rnacentral:rRNA from 1 species